rfam:Neisseria meningitidis MC58, complete genome.
AUGAAAUUCAGGGUGCUUGUUUGCUGUUUCCCAAUCUGUCUUGAUUUUAUCUCUUUCCUCUUGAUGUGUGUGUGUUUGGGUGUGGCUGCCGCCACCCCUUUUUUUU